ACGAACGCUGGCGGCAUGCCUAACACAUGCAAGUCGAACGAGACCUUCGGGUCUAGUGGCGCACGGGUGCGUAACGCGUGGGAACCUGCCUUUAGGUUCGGAAUAACUCAGAGAAAUUUGAGCUAAUACCGGAUGAUGUCUUCGGACCAAAGAUUUAUCGCCUUUAGAUGGGCCCGCGUUGGAUUAGCUAGUUGGUGGGGUAAAGGCCUACCAAGGCGACGAUCCAUAGCUGGUCUGAGAGGAUGAUCAGCCACACUGGGACUGAGACACGGCCCAGACUCCUACGGGAAGCAGCAGUGGGGAAUAUUGGACAAUGGGCGAAAGCCUGAUCCAGCAAUGCCGCGUGAGUGAUGAAGGCCUUAGGGUUGUAAAGCUCUUUUACCCGAGAUGAUAAUGACAGUAUCGGGAGAAUAAGCUCCGGCUAACUCCGUG
rnacentral:rRNA from 1 species